AGCAGCCGCGGUAAUUCCAGCUCCAAUAGCGUAUAUUAAAGUUGUUGCAGUUAAAAAGCUCGUAGUUGAAUUUCGGGAUCAAUAUUUCGGUCAUGCCGUUGGUAUGCACUGUUAUCAUUGAUUUCUCACCUUCUAAAGAACCGUAAUGCCAUUAAUUUGGUGUUACGGGGAAUUAGGACUGUUACCUUGAAAAAAUUAGAGUGUUUAAAGCAGGCUCACGCUUGAAUACAUUAGCAUGGAAUAAUGAAAUAGGACAUCCGAUUCUAUUUUGUUGGUUUCUAGGAUCGAUGUAAUGAUUAAUAGGGAUAGUUGGGGGCAUUAGUAUUCAAUUGUCAGAGGUGAAAUUCUUGGAUUUAUUGAAGACUAACUACUGCGAAAGCAUUUGCCAAGGAUGUUUUCAUUAAUCAAGAACGAAAGUUAGGGGAUCGAAGACGAUCAGAUACCGUCGUAGUCUUAACCAUAAACUAUGCCGACUAGGGAUCGGAUGAUGUAAUUUUUAAUGA
rnacentral:rRNA from 1 species